UACGGAGGGUGCAAGCGUUGUCCGGAUUUAUUGGGUUUAAAGGGUGCGUAGGCGGUUGUAUAAGUCAGUGGUGAAAUCCUACAGCUUAACUGUAGAAUUGCCAUUGAUACUGUAUGACUAGAGUGCAAGUGAGGUGGUUGGAAUGCGUAGUGUAGCGGUGAAAUGCUUAGAUAUUACGCAGAACGCCGAUUGCGAAGGCAGAUCACUAACUUGUAACUGACGCUGAUGCACGAAAGCGUGGGGAGCGAACAGG
rnacentral:rRNA from 1 species